UUGCCCUUUACGGCUCAGUAACACGUAGUCAACAUGCCCAGGGGACGUGGAUAACCUCGGGAAACUGAGGCUAAACCGCGAUAGACCAAGAUACCUGGAAUGGUUUUUGAUUAAAAUCUAUAUGGCCUUUGGAUUGGACUGCGACCGAUCAGGCUGUUGGUGAGGUAAUGGCCCACCAAACCUGUAACCGGUACGGGCUCUGAGAGGAGGAGCCCGGAGAUGGGUACUGAGACAAGGACCCAGGCCCUAUGGGGCGCAGCAGGCGCGAAACCUCUGCAAUAGGCGAAAGCCUGACAGGGUUACUCUGAGUGACUUUCGCUAAGAAAGUCUUUUGACACCUCUAAAAAUGGUGUAGAAUAAGGGGUGGGCAAGUCUGGUGUCAGCCGCCGCGGUAAUACCAGCACCCCGAGUGGUCGGGACGAUUAUUGGGCCUAAAGCAUCCGUAGCCGGUCCUGCAAGUCCUCCGUUAAAUCCACCCGCUCAACGGUUGGGCCGCGGGGGAUACUACAGGGCUAGGAGGCGGGAGAGGCAAGCGGUACUCGAUGGGUAGGGGUAAAAUCCACUGAUCCAUUGAAGACCACCAGUGGCGAAGGCGGCUUGCCAGAACGCGCUCGACGGUGAGGGAUGAAAGCUGGGGGAGCAAACCGGAUUAGAUACCCGGGUAGUCCCAGCUGUAAACGAUGCAGACUCGGUGAUGGGCUGGCUUCGUGCCAACCCGGUGCCGCAGGGAAGCCGUUAAGUCUGCCGCCUGGGGAGUACGGUCGCAAGACUGAAACUUAAAGGAAUUGGCGGGGGAGCAC
rnacentral:rRNA from 1 species